rnacentral:rRNA from 1 species
CCCUUAGAUGUUCUGGGCUGCACGCGCGCUACACUGAUGCAUGCAACGAGUUUUCGACCUUGCCUGAAAAGGUUGGGUAAUCUGUUUAACAUGUGUCGUGAUGGGGAUAGACCAUUGCAAUUAUUGAUCUUCAACGAGGAAUUCCUAGUAAGCGCGAGUCAUCAGCUCGUGCUGAUUACGUCCCUGCCCUUUGUACACACCGCCCGUCGCUCCUACCGAUUGGGUGAUCCGGUGAAUAAUUCGGACUGCGGCAUUGACCGGUUCCCGAUCGUUGCUGCGGAAAGUUUAGUGAACCUUAUCACUUAGAGGAAGGAGAAGUCGUAACA